rnacentral:lncRNA from 1 species
AUGGAGGCAGAAACAAAAAUGGUUUUAAUUCACUUACCAUUUUCUAGUCAACAAUAGUAGGAUUUAGGUAGAAGAAUCAUCAUUGAGAUUUAAGAUAUACGCAGAUUAAUUAGAGCUAAAGAGGCCAGAAGGGUAAAAGGAUUCUUUAAUCUACAAAAGCAACUUGUGUUUUCAUUCUGAAAAUUGAAAUAGACGGCUCCCCAAAAAACACAAGUCUUCAGGAACCACGAAAAAGAAAAGAUGGAUGUGUGUUGUUCAUUCUUAUCCUUCUUCUCUUUUCCCUUCUUCCCUCUCUGUGUAUCUGCAACCAUGCACCAUCUCCUUUGUUGCCCGGAUUCUAAGGUGCGAACCAGACAAUACAUCUCUCCCCUCUUUCUUCGUGAACCCUUGAUUUUAUCCUUUUAAAAAUAGGAAGAAUUCUUUCAGAAGAGAUUGUAUAUAACCACAAAGACAUGAGAUUAUCAAGCAGCAAAAUACCAAAAAGAUAACAGAGGCCAAAAUGCUUUUUGCUCCCCAUUGCUUCUCAGUUGCCACGAGGGCCACACAACAGCUUAUCUUGCAACUUCACACCCACACCAUGUCUAUUACCACAUCCAUUAUGAAUACAAACAACUUUUGUGUAUGUCCAUUGUUACUCUCCAUACCAACAUAUUUGAUGUCCUCAUUGAUGUGGCCAGUACCAGGAUUCGAAGCUAUGAGAAUCGAACGCAAGAGGCCAUGAAUUAAGUAGCGAAGGGAAGAUUUAGCAGGCAUGAUAGAUACAUGAAGCGAGAAGCGCAGGUCGGUCGCGGCGCCGGCGAG